rnacentral:rRNA from 1 species
UCCGUAGGUGGAUAAUUAAGUCAGAGGUGAAAUCCUGCAGCUCAACUGUAGAAUUGCCUUUGAUACUGGUUAUCUUGAGUCAUUAUGAAGUGGUUAGAAUGUGUAGUGUAGCGGUGAAAUGCAUAGAUAUUACACAGAAUACCGAUUGCGAAGGCAGAUCACUAGUAAUGUACUGACACUGAGGGACGAAAGCGUGGGGAGCGAACAGGAUUAGAUACCCUGGUAGUCC